GCCCAAGAGAUCGGGAUAACACCUGGAAACAGAUGCUAAUACCGGAUAACAAUAGAUGAUGCCUAUCAACUGUUUAAAAGAUGGUUCUGCUAUCACUCUUGGAUGGACCUGCGGUGCAUUAGCUAGUUGGUAGGGUAACGGCCUACCAAGGCGAUGAUGCAUAGCCGAGUUGAGAGACUGAUCGGCCACAUUGGGACUGAGACACGGCCCAAACUCCUACGGGAGGCAGCAGGC
rnacentral:rRNA from 1 species